UUUUUUUUUUUUUUUUUUUGAAAUCGCUAUGUACUAAAUGGUUCCUGCAAGCAGCUAUUGCCGAUUGCCACUUUGCUCUGCACCUGGGAGCUGCAUUUGACUGUUUAAGUGGUUCUGUCCCGGAGCUGCUGAAAUGCCCAGUGGAACCACAAGCACUCCUUCAGACUUCCUGUUUCCCAAGAGCAGGCAACAGGGGUGUCGAUUACAGCUCGUGCAGGCCUGGGGCAGGGAGGCCCACAUGUCCUGUGUGUUUUCUAUCUGCAGGCUCCGUACAGAUGGUGAGGUUGUUCCCACAGCAAAUCUGCCACCAAAGGGGAUAGGAAAUCUUGGCAGGAAGCUCUCUCAAGCACCAGGGGAGAGUCUCCCAGUGACCUUGGCCUCCACCCAACCCUUUCUCACUACUAAAUGAGGAAAGCAUCUUGAACAGAUUCUGCCAAGACUGAUGGGACUUGGGCCUUUCUCAGCGCUGGAAUGUUAGGUGAAAGCAAGCAGACACAUGUUAACAACUAGACACAAAACAGCUUCGAUACUAUUCAAUCACAACAAGGGAGCCCUCUUCCUGGAGGCUCCUAGCCACGUAGGAGAGAGACCAGCUUUCCUGGGUGUGUUCGCCCGAAGGCAUUCGCUUUCUCUGGCAAGAUCUUACGGUUAACCAAGAUUUCCAUGGAGUGAGCAGUCCUUGGCAGAAGAAAAACAGAAGCAAGACCACAAAAUAUUGAAAAGACUCCUGAGGCUGGCGUGGAGUUAAUAAUCACUUGUACAAACGGGCGGAACUGGUCUCAAUGGGGCCCAGAAGCAAUGGAUGUAGGGGUAUAUGAUGUGGCAUCGCGGGGUUCGCACAGGCAAGGAAAAAUAUCAGCGGUCUAUUCUUUUCCAUCUCCGAGGCCACCCUCAGGAUAGCUGCUUGAUGGUCUUUGCCUCCAGACCAGGCCUCCCCCAGCCACUGGAGAUGCCUCAGGAGGUCUGACCCACUUAGAGCUGGAGGUGUAGGGCUGGAGAGAUAGCUCAGAAGUUAAGAGCACUGACUGUUCUUCAUAAGGUCCUGAGUUCAAAUCCCAGCAACCACAUGGUGGCUCACAACCAUCCAUAACGAGAUCUGACACUCUCUUCUGGUGUGUCUGAAAACAGCUACAGUGUACUUACAUAUAAUAAAUAAAUAAGUCUUUUAAAAAAAUAAGGAAAAAAAAAGGUAGGUGGUAGACUUCCUAGUGCUCAAAGAGACCAGGGUUUGAGUCUCAGCCCUGGACUUGAGAUACAUAGACUGCCUGGGAACUCCCUAUGGAGCUGGGAACAGUGUUGAAAUCCUGAUCUCCCUUCCUCUAUCUCCUGAGAUCCUGUGUGUGUGCCACCAUAACUGGGCAAAACUGCUAAGGUGUCCUCAAACAGUCUGUCCCUGUCAGGACACUUCCAGAUGAAAAACCUCAUCUCAGGUUCACCUCAAGCUACAGGGUUCCAGAGGCAUCUGCAUCCUUUGAGGUCUGUCCUUGCCUCUGUGCGCUUCUCUUUCCCUUGUGCCUCCUGAACACCAUCACAGAUCCCCAGUUUGCUGUCAACCUCUCAGUCGACUCUGCUCUACUGAGAGGUUUUUCUGAUGUUCCUAGUUACAUUUCCAGAUUCCUGAAGACAGAUAAACAAUACCCUGCUGUGGAUUAGCGCCUGGCUUAGGCAGAACAGACCCACUCUCUUUCCCAGACGCCCUCCUGUCUCCCUUAUUCACUUUCAGUCAAUCAGUGUUUUACCACUCAUACAUUUAUUUAUCUUGCUGGGGGAGGGGAAUGUGCCCACCUGGAGCUUUCGAGUGGAGGCCAGAGGUUACCUCACAGGAACUGGUUCUCUCCGCCCACAUCAGGUUUGGUGGUGAGGGCCUUUACCUGCUGAACACUGAAUUUUAAAACAAAACUCAUCAGAAUAAUCUUAAAUAACCCUUCUCAUUAAAGCCACCGGUGUGGGUGGGUGAGUGAAUGUGAGUGUGUGUGGGGGUAUGGUUAUCUGUGUGUGUGUGUGUGUGUGUGUGUGUGUGUGUGUGUGUGUGUGUGUAAACAGACCUGACAAUCCUGUGGGAUGCGGGAAGAAAACACAAGAGCCAAUCAUAAUAGCUUCCUUUCCACUUGUGCAUUAAAUUAUGUCCAAGUAUUUUACAAAUACAAUACUUUGACUAGGCUGGGCAAUGGGACUAGUUCACGUCUCUAAUCCCAGCCCUUAGAAGGCAGAGGCAGGCAGAUCUGUAAAUUCUAAGCCAGCCUGGUCUACAAAGUAAGUUUCUAGGACAGUCAGAGCUACACAGAGAAACUCUGCCUCAAAGAGCUGAAAAAAAUUAUGUACUAUGACUGGGAUAGUGGUACUUGAUCCAAAAAUUUUGUACUGACCCACAGGUUUCUACCUAGAACCCUCCUAUGUGCCUCCUUUGGUUUGUCUUUAUGACAGGGUCUCAUGUGUGCUAGACGGGCCUCCAACUCCUGAUUGGCCUGUGUCUAUCCCUCACAUGCUGAAGUUUCAGGCAGGCCCACCAUGCCCUGUUUUCCCAAGAAGGUAUAGUGACUCCCUAGAGGGACUCUAGUGCCACCUUUCUCAGUAGAUUUUGCCUGAUUUCCAAAGUGUCUCAACCCCAGUCCAUUGUAUCUCUUAUUAUAACAAAUGCAUGCUUUGGGCCUUGUAAUUUAGAUUUGAACUUUUUUUAUUUUUAGACAAGUGGCUCUGUCAAGCCAAGGCUGGCCUCAAACUAGUGACCCUCCUGCUUCUGUCUUCCUGUGACUUGGGUUGCAGGAGAGUGCCAUGCCACCAUUCCUAGUUUAGACGUGUAUAUAAGUUGCCCUUUUUCAGCAUUUUUAGAGCUCCCUGAAAGCAGAGAUCAUAUCUCAUUAUCUCUGGAAGCCUAACAUUGCUCCACACAGCAAACAGACAUCAACUGAACGAACAUUUGAGGUUAUCGCACACAAGAACUGAGACUGAUAGUUGUGUUUGUUUUUGAGACCAGGACAGCCUUGACCCAUGGUCCUCUUGCCUCCACCUCCUACAUGCUGGGGUUAUAAUGGGUGUGCACCCCCAUUCUCAACUUUAAAAUUACUCUAAGGGGCUGGAGAGAUGGCUUGGUAGAUGAGAGCACUGGCUGCUUUUCUAGAGGACCUGAGUUCAAUACCCAGCAUCCACAUGGCAGCUCACAACUGUCUGUAACUCCAGUUCCAGGGGCAUCUGACACUCUCUUCCGACUUCCACUCACACCAGGCAUACACAUGGUGCACAGGCAUAAAAUAUAAGCAAAACACCCAUAUGAAUAAAAUUUAAGAAAUAUGUUUUAAAAAAUUGAUCUCAGUAUAACUUGAUUUUUUUUUUGAGACAGGAUCUCACUUAUAGAGACUAGCUGACCUCAAACAUGCCUCUGCCUCCUGAGAUGGGAUUAUGGGUGUCUGCUACCACGUUCUGCUAUAAUUUGCUGUUUGGAUAACAUAUUCUUCAUAGAGUGUAAUGGUUAUUAAUAAAGAAUCCUGGAAGGCUGAACUUUUUUCUUUUCAGAAAAGGAAAUAUCCUGGAUAACUUCUAGGUUCCAGUCCACAAUAAAUAAACAGAUAGAAAGAUGAUAUAGAUAGGCAGGCAGAAUAGGUAGAUCGAUAGAUGAGAGAUGAGAGAUAGAUGAUAGAUAGAUAGAUAGAUAGAUAGAUAGAUAGAUAGAUAGAUAGAUCCUGACAAUGUGAUUACCACAAGAUGGCAGAAUAACAUUGCAGUCCAACAUUCUUGCAGCCCUUUUCCAGACAUCAUAGGUAUCACUAGACAUUCCUCUGAGAAUAGAAAGUGCCCACAAAGAAAUUUUGACAGGAGCUGGUGUGACCUACAGAUUAUCUGCUCUGUGUCUUGCUGUUCUUUGCAAAAGGUGUUGGACAACAGGCAACACCUACCUCCUGAGCAUGUGAUGGGGGACUCAGACCCAGCAGGCUGGAUCUCUUGCAGAGCAGCAGAAUACAGCUGUCCUGGGAGAAUCACGUGCUGGAGUGAGACCAGCCUAGAGAACACAGAGAGAAGCUAUCUCAAAACAGAAGCAUAAAAGAACACAGUCCUGCCUCGGGGUCAGCACUGUGGGCAGCCAGUGCCUUACAUGGCUCCUGGUGAACCAGAGGAAGUUAGCUUUGGGGAUCAUUUCAUGAAUGAGCCCAUGUUUCUCCGCAACCUGCAGGUCCCACAGUGUUUCUUGGGGUGUCCAUGUCUGGGACUUAACAAGCAGAUAACAUCCCCAGAAACCACAAAGGUUAGCUUUAGGUUUUGAGUGUCUGGUCAAAGUACUUUGUUGUGAUUUGGGGUGUAGUCUCACUGCAUAGCCCAGUGUGACCUUGAACUUCAGCCACGGGGUUAGUGACGUAUGCCACCAUUGCCACAGGGAGUGCUUUUUAGAAGAAUAUGUCCUGUGAGGGGCUAAACUUGAUGCCUUUACAUGUGCUCUUAUCACUGAUAGAGCCUGCAACAAGGAGAUUCCCUGAUGGACCUUCGAGCCAGUCCUCUCCAGCUCUUCCCUUGAAGAGAAAUGAUCAGAGAGGCAAGUGGCCGCUUUCCUGGGGACAGUGGAUAAGCACUGUCCCAACUCCACACGAUAAUAUCACUCAGUAGAGACUCACUGGGCUCUUACUCUAAGAACCUACACAUUUAAUCUUUACAACAACGCUUUGAGUUAAGCAACUUAUCAUUUGUUUGAGACGGGGCCUGUCUUUGUAGACCAGGCUAGCCCCCAGAUCUCCAUGUAGCCCAGGCUAAGAAAAUUCCCAUUAUUUGCACACACACCCACACCCAAGGUUCUACAUAAAGCCUCCUCAGCUUAGAAGUUACCCUGAAGAAGGUGCCAAGAAGAGUGGUGGACUUCUACUCUCCAAUAGGUUGUCCAGGCACAAGGACUUGAGUUCAGUUCCCCAAGACCGACAUAUAAAACAAAGCAAGGCGUAGGAUCAUGUGCUUGUAAUUCCAGCACUAGGAAGGUGAGGCAGGAAGCUGGCUGAUUCCCCAGCCUUUCAGCCCAGUCUUCUUGGCAUACCCCAGGCCAAGCAGAGACUGUUGUAAAAAACAAGCUAGACAGCACUUGAGGAAGAAUGGCCCUUAAGGCUGUCCUCUGACCUCCACAAGUAUACACACACACACACACACACACACACACACACAC
rnacentral:lncRNA from 1 species